GUGUGGGGUGUGAAAGAGCUCCCUGUCCUGCCCCCUGUCCUAUAGAGCUCUCCCUUCCAUCCCUUAGAGAUCUCCCCUGCCCCUUAGUGGUUUCUCCUCUCCUCUCCCCCCUACCUCCUUUAGUGGUCUCCUUUUAUCCCCGACUUUCCAUUAGUGGUCUCUGCUGGGAGGUGAGGCAGUGCAGCAGCCGUCUGAGCGCUCUCUACAGAGCACUCAGACGGC